ensembl:lncRNA
GCAAAAUGGACAGCUGCAAAAGUCCCACAAGCACAGAGAGACACACACAGGAUCAAAUUCAGUCAACCAGUCUAAAUAUAUUGAAUUUAAAUCAUACAAUAAGAUGCUCCCAUAAAAACUCUCUCUCGCCCUCUCUCUCUCUCUCUCUCUGUCUCACGCACACACACACACACACACACACACACACACACACACACACACACACACACACACACACACACACACACACACAGGGAGAGAAAAUCAAGUUUCUAGCUCAGUCAAGCAGCCUGGGAGCUGCUAAAUUUGAAUCCACCAAUCAGAGAGGCUGUGUACUUUUUCCCGCCAAAACAGGUGCAGCCGUUUUUACACACACAGAG